GGAAGGGUGGCUGAGUCCGGUUUAAGGCACUCGACUCGAAAUCGAGCGUAGCUUUAUCGCUACCGGGGGUUCGAAUCCCCCCCCUUCCGCCA
rnacentral:tRNA from 1 species